UACGUAGGGUGCGAGCGUUGUCCGGAAUUAUUGGGCGUAAAGAGCGUGUAGGCGGCUUUACAGGUCCGCUGUGAAAACUCGAGGCUCAACCUCGAGCUGUCGGUGGAAACCGUUUGGCUAGAGUCCGGAAGAGGAGAGUGGAAUUCCCGGUGUAGCGGUGAAAUGCGCAGAUAUAGGGAAGAACACCCGUGGCGAAGGCGGCUCUCUGGGACGGUACUGACGCUGAGACGCGAAAGCGUGGGGAGCGAACAGG
rnacentral:rRNA from 1 species